rnacentral:tRNA from 4 species
GCGCCUAUAGCUCAAAGGCAGAGCGUCUGAUUGUGGAUCAGAAGGUUGCGGGUUCGAGCCCCGCUAGGCGCC